GUUGAAAGCCAUUGUAUUGUCUUCAGCGUGUAAGCAAGACCUGUGACUAAUGAAUGAAGUUUCAGUCACACACCUGGAUGUACCUGGAUGGGAGACCACAUGGGAAAGCUAGGUUGCUGCCAGAA
rnacentral:rRNA from 1 species